rnacentral:rRNA from 1 species
UAACGCGUGNAUAAUCUACCCAGAUGUUCGGGAUAACGGCGGGAAACUGCCGCUAAUACCGGAUACGAUCCAAUUUCGGUUGGGUGAAAGGCGGCCUCUGUUUACAAGCUGUCGCAUCUGGAUGAGUCCGCGUCCCAUUAGCUUGUUGGUGGGGUAAUGGCCUACCAAGGCGACGAUGGGUAGCUGGUCUGAGAGGAUGAUCAGCCACACUGGAACUGAAACACGGUCCAGACUCCUACGGGAGGCAGCAGUGGGGAAUAUUGCGCAAUGGGGGAAACCCUGACGCAGCGACGCCGUGUGAGGGAAGAAGGCUUUCGGGUCGUAAACCUCUGUCGGGAGGGAAGAACCUUCCAGGCCUGAAUAAGUCCUGGAACUGACGGUACCUCCAAAGGAAGCACCGGCUAACUCCGUGCCAGCAGCCGCGGUAAUACGGAGGGUGCAAGCGUUAAUCGGAAUCACUGGGCGUAAAGCGCGCGUAGGCGGUCUUUUAAGUCGGACGUGAAAGCCCUCGGCUCAACCGGGGGAACUGCGUUCGAAAACUGGGAGACUUGAGUCCUGGAGAGGGUGGCGGAAUUCCGGGUGUAGGAGUGAAAUCCGUAGAUAUCCGGAGGGAACACCGGUGGCGAAGGCGGCCACCCUGGACAGGUACUGACGCUUGAGGCGCGAAAGC